GCGUAACACGUGGGUAAUUUGCCAUAAAGUUGGGAAUAACUUGCUGAAAGGUAAGCUAAUACCGAAUGUGAUUCUGGAAAAGCAUUUUUCUGGGAUUAAAGUUGGGGACCGUAAGGCCUGACGCUUUUUGAUAAGCCCGCGUCCUAUCAGCUUGUUGGUGAGGUAAAAGCUCACCAAGGCUUAGACGGGUAGCUGGUCUGAGAGGACGAUCAGCCACACUGGAACUGAGACACGGUCCAG
rnacentral:rRNA from 1 species